UUUGCUUCUCAUCCUUUUGGAUGAGACCAAGUGUAUUAUUUGUUCUUAACAGUGGCUGACUAGCUAUACUAGAUGGGAAUGGAGCUUUACAUGGAGACAAGCAGGUGUGCGCGGGCUGGCCCAUCAACUACAUGACCUUGUCCUUGCCAUUUGCACUGGAUAGGGUAAGAGCCGAGGUACCAGA